rnacentral:rRNA from 1 species
UUUUGUUAUGUUGGUGUAUGUCUGAUUUAAUAUUAUUGCUUAAUGGUUAAAGUUUGUGUAUAUUUAUUUAAGUCAAGUCUAUGUGCUGCUUAUAAAAGUAUUCAUGCGUUACUUUAAUAAUAUGUUAGAUGAAAUAUUAAUUGAUUUAGGACUUAAUAGUAAUGUUUAAUUAGUUUGUAAAUGUGAAUAUAGUUUAGCUCAGGUACACACCGCCCGUCACCCUCGGUU